AGAGUUUGAUCCUGGCUCAGGAUGAACGCUGACAGAAUGCUUAACACAUGCAAGUCUACUUGAACUUCGGUUUGGGUGGCGGACGGGUGAGUAACGCGUAAAGAACUUGCCUCACAGUUAGGGACAACAUUUGGAAACGAAUGCUAAUACCUGAUAUUAUGAUUUUAGGGCAUCCUAAGAUUAUGAAAGCUAUAUGCGCUGUGAGAGAGCUUUGCGUCCCAUUAGCUAGUUGGAGAGGUAACGGCUCACCAAGGCGAUGAUGGGUAGCCGGCCUGAGAGGGUGAACGGCCACAAGGGGACUGAGACACGGCCCUUACUCCUACGGGAGGCAGCAGUGGGGAAUAUUGGACAAUGGACCAAAAGUCUGAUCCAGCAAUUCUGUGUGCACGAUGACGUUUUUCGGAAUGUAAAGUGCUUUCAGUUGGGAAGAAAAAAAUGACGGUACCAACAGAAGAAGUGACGGCUAAAUACGUG
rnacentral:rRNA from 1 species